GACGAACGCUGGCGGCGUGCCUAAUACAUGCAAGUCGAACGCAGUGGGGACGGGUGAGUAACAAGUGGGUAACCUCCCAUCAGAGGGGAUAACACUUGGAAAAAGGUGCUAACCCGAAACUUAUGGAUGAACCCGCGGUUCAUUAGCUAGUUGGAGAGGUAACGGCGCACCAAGGCCACGAUGCAUAGCCGACCUGAGAGGGUGAUCGGCCACACUGGAACUGAGACACGGCCCAGACUCCUACGGGAGGCAGCAGUAGGGAAUCUUCGGCAAUGGACGAAAGGCUGAUGGAGCCACGCCGCGUGAGUGAAGAAGGCUUUCGGAUCGUAAAACUCUGUUGUCAGAGAAGCGGUAUCUAACCAGAAAGCAACGGCUAACUACGUGCCAGCAGCCGCGGUAAUAC
rnacentral:rRNA from 1 species